AAUAAAUCCCUUAUUCUUGUUCAAGUAAUUUAGAGUGGACUAUUGGAGCAUUGGACACCCCCAUUCUGACAAGUUCAGUAUCUACAGACUGUGAGACUUAGGGGUCAGUUAUCAAGCGCAGAUUGUCCCUGUCAAUCUGCCUCAAACUAUACUACAAGCUAACGCAGGCAAUUUGUCCCAAGUUAAAAUACCACCGCCACAGCCUGUGUUUCAAAUAAAAAAAAACAUUUUAUUUUGUUAAAUGAAAAGAACUCGGAUUGUAAAUUCACACAAGAAUAGGGCCCUUAACUCCUCAUUUGUUUGUUUGUCAAAUGUCGUGUAGUCUCUU